rnacentral:lncRNA from 1 species
AAUCUUAAUGUUCAUAUACUUGGAUCUUUUAAGAUAUCAUGUCUUACUUAAGAUUGCAUAUUUUACUAUCACAUAAAGAGUUGAACAAUUACGGUCUCAAACUCAAAGAUAAUUUUGCAAUCAUAGUUAACUUUAUAAAAGCCUCAUAAAAUUGCCACAUACUCAGCCUCUGCAUUGGAUGUUUAAAGCAAUUACAACUCUAAGCUUUUCCAUAAUAAGGUAUCUCAUUUGAUGAGAUACACAUUGAUAAAUUUGUAAUGCGUAGAACUAUUAUAUCCAUUAAAAUCUGAGUUUUAAAAUCCAACCACCUGUGGGUGUGUUGAUUUCUUAUAUGUGAUCAAGUGAUAUUUUCUUCACUACAUAUCUCAAAAUUAUUUUCAGCUUUCUUUUCUUUAAAUUCUAUUUCAUUAUGCGGAUAUUGCUUAAGAUUUAAACUUAUCACCUUUUUGCAUAGGAACAAUACUAGAAGACGCAUUUUCAUGCCAUAUCUCUGAAGAAAUUUUUCAGUAUAU